rnacentral:rRNA from 1 species
AGUGAACGCUGGCGGUAGGCCUAACACAUGCAAGUCGAACGGCAGCACAGUAAGAGCUUGCUCUUACGGGUGGCGAGUGGCGGACGGGUGAGGAAUACAUCGGAAUCUACUUUUUCGUGGGGGAUAACGUAGGGAAACUUACGCUAAUACCGCAUACGACCUACGGGUGAAAGCAGGGGAUCUUCGGACCUUGCGCGAUUGAAUGAGCCGAUGUCGGAUUAGCUAGUUGGCGGGGUAAAGGCCCACCAAGGCGACGAUCCGUAGCUGGUCUGAGAGGAUGAUCAGCCACACUGGAACUGAGCCACGGUCCAGACUCCUACGGGAGGCACCAGUGGGGAAUAUUCGACAGUGGGCGCAAGCCUGAUCCAGCCAUACCGCGUGGGUGAAGAAGGCCUUCGGGUUGUAAAGCCCUUUUGUUGGGAAAGAACAGCAGCAGGUUAAUACCCCGCUGUUCUGACGGUACCCAAAGAAUAAGCACCGGCUAACUUCGUG